UCCUGCCUACGUGGCCUAGAUGCAGAGCCCCCAUCAGGACAGGACCAUGAAACAGAAGGUAAACUCUGGACUUUGUUUGCGGGAGGUGAGGGCCAUUUUUGCCUUUGGUGCAUAUGACCCUGAUUCUUUGUGGAGAAGCCAUUUUCUAUUUGCAUAAUAGAGUUUCUGGGGUCAAUUUUCAGGAGCAGCAGCGUUUUUUUCAACAUCCUCUUGUUGCUACAUCUUCAUAAAAGUAGAAUCUCCUGGAGGAAUCGCAAACAUGCUUUUUCGACAGGCGCAGGACGUUAGGUGGAGUCCGGGCGGCUUGAAGCAUGUGCAGCAUUUGCCUAACAAAUACUGGCGAGCAGCGACGGACACGGGAUGCAAACGAGGCCGAGAUAAUGGAGACUGGUUUGUGUGUGUCACAUUAUGGUUGUGACCCUAACGAGGUGAACGAGAACAGGUGGUGCCACAUAGAAUGUGGGAUGUGGAGUAACAAAGCCGGGUUAGCUUAGCAUUUCUUUUAUUAGCGGCCAUUAUUUACCCCAACUCUCAUCUGUGACGUUCUAGAAAUGCACGGUCAUUACUCCUGUGAUGCAAAAUCAUGAAUACCCUUCUCUUGUGGCAGCGCGUAAUGGGAGAGAUGCCCGAAAAGGUGGCGGCGUAUUAAUAUGUGUUUCCCCCAUCUGCGCCUCCCUUUCCUGGACUCCGUUACGGCGCUUGUAAUGGAAAAUGUUUUGGUUUAUGUGGCGGCACACAGGUGGCUGAGACACCCUGCUCUUAACUGCAGGGACCGAGCAGCUGCCUCUGACAGAUCGCCAGCAAGCUGCUGCCGGCGCCGCCGCUGACAAGAAACGGGCUCCGACGCGCGAUGCUCCGCUUUUAUUUUCCCUUUCAGGAUCCGAACGGUUCGUUUUCCAGCGUCGUUCCUGCUGACACUGGAAUUCCCUCCAGUUUCCAGCCAUUACAGUCAAAUUAAUUUGAGACCGUUUCCUCUGGUGAUCUGUUCGGCUCCUUCUCAGCAGAAACCGAACACACAUAACAGGGACAUUAACUAUUAACCAGCUCCUAUUCAUGAGGCUUCUUUGUCUCUUCAAGGUCAUUCAGCGAUGAAGCCAACACAAAAAUGACAGAAUUAAAAUAUCAUCUUUCUGCGCCGACAUUCAACCUGAACGGGUUCUGGACCAGCGGGCGCUCAAAUGCAUCCCAUGGUGCAGCGGGGCGGCGAGUUAAUGAUAGAGUUACAAGUAGACCACUGCAGCACAUUGCUGUGCAUCUACGUGUGACCUGAAUCCGGGGCGAGCGAAUGUGGAGCGAGCGAGGCACGGGCUGCAGCACGGCCACGUUUCACGGCGUCGUUCCUCCCAGAGAGCAGACGUGCAUGUAGAUGUGCACGUGUCUGACCUUCAGAUCAAACCAAGGUCACCUGAGCUGAAAUUGCUCAGAGUGACACACGUGAGACCAAAGUGGCUCCACGUCGGUAGGUUAAUGACCAGGAGCUGCUAGUAGACGUUUGUGGGUGUGUUUGUCACAUGAGGAGGAAGAGAGCAGCAUCACAUUAAAUCAGAGUUCACAAACAUUCACAUCCAUUCUCUUGGUAAGAAGCUUCUGGAACUAUGAGCUAAAUGCAGCAAAAAUACAUUCAUUUAAAAUUUCAGAUUUUUUAUAUUAUAAACUAGAAAAUGUGCUGUCAAAUUCAUAGUUUAUAUGAAGACAUUAAAUCCUUCUUCCAAGAACUAAAGGCUAAGAAACCUCAAGGGUAUUUUGUCAAAUGAUGUGACGUAUUGUUCCCAUUUAAUGCACAACUGAGAACAAAGGCACCACGUAUCCAACCGUGCUCAGCCAGAGACUGUGGCCUUCAAACAACAAAGCUCUGAUUACCAGAUUCUCUCCCACAUAAUAAAGAUGUAGUGUCUGUUUACUACAGCGAUCAGCCGUAACAUACGUGCUUGUGCUGAGCCCCUGAAGCUGUGCUGUGGUCUCUGACACUAAGAUGUGAGCAGGAGACAGGUGAGGAGUGAGAUAACACACAGAGCUAGUCCCAGCGCGAUCAGAAGAAUCGCAUGUGAGUAGCUGCUAAAUGUGGGCGUGAGUCUUUUUCUCCACGGGUUGUUUAAACUACCCAAUUAUCCCAAAGCCCCACGAGAAGUGACCCACACAGGCCCCUGGUCCGAUUGCGGAAGAAAGUAGGUCUGGUUCCAGCUGUGGAGGUGGAACGUCCUCCAGGUAGGAGCUUCCUGGAUGUCAUGAUGGAGACUCAUUCUCUAGUAUUACCUCUAAAAGUCAGCAAUCUGUGCUCAUUUGUUGCAUAUUGAAUAUAUAUUUAUGUCUUCAAUGUUUUUUGGAUAUUCAACACAUGCAGGUUUAAGGCUGAACAUUUUGCACCAAUGGCAGAACCGUGACAGAUGCAAUUUAGAAUCAAAACAAGUGGCGGCUCAUGAGGAAGCAUUUUAUUACACGUCCUCUGAAACUGACGCAAAUAACACACUUAGCAUAUGUGUGGUGACGGUACGGGUCCCUCGACGGGAGGAGGAGGAGGAGAAGGAGGAGAAGGAGGAGGGAAGAUCCGCAGCAGGAGAGAGAGGACUCAGAGGAUUCACACGAGCACCUCGUCCCUCGACUGACCUUCAGACAUCAGAUGCCUGGUUUAUCUGGAAGAUCUGGAGCGCUCCUAUCCUCGAUGAGCAACCAGAUGAAGUAGGAGACAUGGCGACGAGGGGCGAAGCAGGAGGAGGUGGGACGACAGCUGACUCACUCCGGCGUGGGGGCUUUGGUGGCGCUGAAUCAUCUGGAGACUUAUUGAAUAUUUCCUACAUUUGAUGUCAUUAUCACCCUGGUGAUCAUGACACCCAUCAUCAGCGCUGCCCCCGAGACUCCAGAUCACAGGCAGGGACCAGACAGAUGGAGCAGCGUGUGUGUGGAUACUGGUUUUGAAGAGAGAAUGUUUCAAAAAUAAUAAAUAAAUACAGAAGUC